CUACGGGUCGCUGCAGUGAGGAAUAUUGCACAAUGGGGGGAACCCUGAUGCAGCAACGCCGCGUGGAGGAUGACGCAUUUCGGUGUGUAAACUCCUUUUAUAUGUCAAGGAAAUGACGGUAGCAUAUGAAUAAGCACCGGCUAACUCCGUGCCAGCAGCCGCGGUAGUACGGAGGGUGCAAGCGUUACUCGGAAUCACUGGGCGUAAAGGACGCGUAGGCGGGUUGGAAAGUCAGGUGUGAAAUCCUACAGCUUAACUGUAGAACUGCACUUGAAACUUCUAAUCUAGAGUAUGGGAGGGGGAGAUGGAAUUAGUGGUGUAGGGGUAAAAUCCGUAGAUAUCACUAGGAAUACCUAAAGCGAAGGCGAUCUCCUGGAACAUUACUGACGCUAAGGCGUGAAAGCGUGGGGAGCAAACAGGAUUAGAUACCCUCGUAGUC
rnacentral:rRNA from 1 species